ACAACACUAGACGCAUGUCUAGAGUUUAAAAGAUGGUUCUGCUAUCACUCUUGGAUGGACCUGCGGUGCAUUAGCUAGUUGGUAAGGUAACGGCUUACCAAGGCAAUGAUGCAUAACCGAGUUGAGAGACUGAUCGGCCACAUUGGGACUGAGACACGGCCCAAACUCCUACGGGAGGCAGCAGUAGGGAAUCUUCCACAAUGGACGCAAGUCUGAUGGAGCAACGCCGCGUGAGUGAAGAAGGGUUUCGGCUCGUAAAGCUCUGUUGGUAGUGAAGAAAGAUAGAGGUAUUAACUGGCCUUUAUUUGACGGUAAUUACUUAGAAAGUCACGGCUAACUACGUGCCAGCAGCCGCGGUAAUACGUAGGUGGCAAGCGUUGUCCGGAUUUAUUGGGCGUAAAGCGAGUGCAGGCGGUUCAAUAAGUCUGAUGUGAAAGCCCUUCGGUCUACCGGGAGAAUUGCGUCAAAAACUGUUGAACUUGAAUGAGAAGAGGAGAGUGGAACUCCNUGUGUA
rnacentral:rRNA from 1 species